UACAGAGGUCCCGAGCGUUGUUCGGAUUUACUGGGCGUAAGGGUGCGUAGGCGGUGGGGUAAGUUUGAGGUGAAAGCUCCGGGCUCAACCCGGGAAACUGCUUUGAAAACUAUCCGGCUAGAGGGUUGGAGGGGAGACUGGAAUUCUCGGUGUAGCAGUGAAAUGCGUAGAUCUCGAGAGGAACACCAGUGGCGAAGGCGGGUCUCUGGACAGUUCCUGACGUGAG
rnacentral:rRNA from 1 species